AACUCCUCAAUAAUCUUCUUUUUAUAAUUCUUGGAAAAAUAACUACAUAAAAUAAACUACGUUUUAUUAAAGCUGGGUCUUCUUUCAAGCUCACGAUGGUGUGAAAUAGCAGUUCUGAGCUCAGACUCUGGAGUCGAAUGCGUUCCAGCCCUCAUUCUGUCCCAUGGAGCAAUGGCAGCUUGGACAAACAGACCCAUCCACACCUCAGGCUUUUCUUCCCUUCAUCGGGAGUAGUAAUCAUGGCACUAAACUCACUGUGUUAUCAUGAGGAUUGAAUGAGGUAACGGGUAUAAAGUCAUUAGCACAGCUCUUAGGUAGCGCUCCGUAAACCUCCCUUGUUUUCUUUGGUUGCCAACUCACAUUAGCUCAUGUUUUUAAAAUGUGGGCUUACCUAUCCUUUUCCAAAUAGGACUUGGGGUGGCUGUGUCUGACAACAAAAAAGAUAAAGCUACAUGACUGCAGAGAAGCUGGAAAACAACGUCAAGCUUCACGUCACCUACGAAUGUGAUGAGAUGCCUUCUACAUGUUCACUCAGAUCACUGGGAACAGAGCUAAACAGAAUCGGGCUGAGAACUGAGAAUAUCCCUGUAAAGAAAUCACUGUGCAAGAGGACGUGAACGGGCAUUCUUUGGAUCCUUACAGCUUUCAGUCCAUAAGUCUGAGAACAGCAGGAAACGAUGAGAAAGUGCAGUUUGUCGAUGCAUUGGAUUUCAGUGACUCUCUAUUUGACCUUCGGCGAUCCUAACCGGGAUCAGUUCAGACUCCCUGUGAAUUGACCUCCCCCCAUAUUUUAUUAUUGAAGGACAUUUAAGGUUUUCCCAACUUGGUUAUGACAAAAGCAGAAACACACACAUACACACACACACACACACACACCCGGGGUAAGAUAUGAUAGUCUAAUACAAUUUUUCUAUGUAUUUUUAUAUUGUCUUUCCCUCCCUCAUUCUUAUGCAAGACUUUCCCCUCUUUCUUUCCUUACCUCGGUCCCUCCAGGAACUUUCGGCAUCUCAAGCUUCCACACCUAUUUCAAACCUUCACUGAAAUCAUUGUGUUGAGCUGACUGAGGAAUUGUCUGCUGGAGCAGAAUUAUUCAGCUCGGAUGUCCCAUCAGGACUUCACUUUCUUAUCUGCUAUUUUUGUGAGGGCCUCAAGUAUAAGCUAGACCUUCCUUAAUGUUCUCUUCUAAGCAUCAAAAAGUAGUAUCUGCUGACCUUUGUUCCUAUUGUAAAAGGACUUUACCACUGUAUUACCUUGUCA